UAGCAUGGCGUGAACACACCUCUGAGCGUGUCUGUGAGGGAUACCUGUAUAAGGACGCGCGCCAUGAGGCGCGCCAGAAAAUACAACCGCAGAAUGUUUCUAGUAAUUCUAGUUUCUAAUAAUAUGUAACUAAUUUAGUGUUGAUAUAUUUUUUAAAUUUUGCGUGCUUUCACAAAAAACGAGUAUCCUGGGGAUGAUGGAGGGGCACAGGAGGAAUCUGGAGUUUCGUUUUCUGAAAAAAGGAUACACCCAGAGGCUUUUAAACUCACCCUCUCACACAUAAACAGUCAGUUCAAGAGCGUCCCAGUUGACUUAAGAUGGAUCCGUGUACAAUGAUGGCAGCUGGUGCAGGAGCAGCCGUAGCAGUUGUUGCAGCUCCUGCUGUUCUAGCAGCGGCCGGUUUCACCGCAGGUGGAAUUGCUGCAGGUUCAAUUGCCUCCACUUUGAUGUCAGCUGCCGCCGUGGCUAACGGAGGAGGGGUCGCAGCUGGAGGCUUGGUAGCAACUCUUCAAGUCGCCGGUGCAGCUGGAAUCCCUAUCGUAGCUAAUGCUGUAAUAGGUGCCAUAGGGGCCACUGUGGGUGGUGCUAUUGGUGGAACAUUGAUAUGCAGUGCAGGAGCCGCAGGUGCUGCAACAAUCCCUGCCGCAGGCGAAGGCAUUGUAGCCGCCGUGAGCGCAGCUGCCGGCUUAAUUGCCAACUGCACUGGGUAACAGGAUCACUGUGUCUGUGCUUUUGUGCCCCAACAGGCCCUUAACAAUUUGACAGGUUUCUGUUCAUGAAGUCAAAUAUAGCAUUUAACUAAUCCACAACCAUAAACAUAUGCACUUACUAUAAUUACUUUUAUUAAUAGUAAUAAUGAAAAAAAUCCAUUUCUCUUUUCUUCCAUUCUUCUAUUUCACUUCUAAUCUAGCUUAUACUUCAAACUUGACAUUGUACUAUGAAUAUAGUUUGCUCUUAUGACAAAAUGCUUGUGGUGUUUGUAUAAAAGGAUCUGCUAAAUGAGUAAAUGUAAUUAUAACAUAAAUUAAACUAUUUAAAACUUAAAAAUAAAUAAAUAUAUUGUAUUAUAAAACCAU